GUCCACGCCCUAAACGAUGUCAACUGGUUGUCGGGGAAGCAAUUCCUUGGUAACGAAGCUAACGCGUGAAGUUGACCGCCUGGGGAGUACGGCCGCAAGGUUAAAACUCAAAGGAAUUGACGGGGACCCGCACAAGCGGUGGAUUAUGUGGAUUAAUUCGAUGCAACGCGAAAAACCUUACCUACCCUUGACAUGUACGGAACCUCGCAGAAAUGCGAGGGUGCCCGAAAGGGAACCGUAACACAGGUGCUGCAUGGCUGUCGU
rnacentral:rRNA from 1 species